GUACUGCUUGGUCAGGCAGCACAUUUGAAAAAUUGGAAUCGAUACAGAGAAGAUUAGCAUGGCCCUUUUGAAAAGGAUGGCAUGCAAAUUCGUGAAGCAUUUGCACUAUAG